UCCGGAUUCACUGGGUUUAAAGGGUGCGUAGGUGGAUUAGUAAGUCUGUGGUGAAAUCUCCGAGCUUAACUCGGAAACUGCCGUGGAUACUAUUAGUCUUGAAUCUCCUGGAGGUAAGCGGAAUAUGUCAUGUAGCGGUGAAAUGCUUAGAUAUGACAUAGAACACCAAUUGCGAAGGCAGCUUACUACGGGAGUAUUGACACUGAGGCACGAAAGCGUGGGGAUCAAACAGGAUUAGAUACCCUGGUAGUCCACGCCCUAAACGAUGAUUACUCGACAUACGCGAUACACUGUGUGUGUCUGAGCGAAAGCAUUAAGUAAUCCACCUGG
rnacentral:rRNA from 1 species